GUUACUCCUUUUUCGUAACAACGUUAAAAAUUAAACGACGCAGUUGCCUUUCUGGACUAAACUUAAUGAUGUGUCAAUGUUGCGUGAUUGCGUGGCAAUGAGAUUAAAAAUAGAUUAGAUGGAUUUUUUUUACAGAGGUUAAAAAAGUACUUUCCCUUCCUUUUUAUGAGUUAAGGGCUCCAAUCAAAACAGGGAACCUUUCUUCCCUCUCUUCUUUUCUAAUUCCAGCGAUUUCUAUUUGGGAAUGGAGGUCUAGUUUGGUGGCUCAAGCGUGACCCAUCUACAAUAGGCUCAAUGGUCGUUUUCAGCGUAGAGAGUCGCAAGCUCCAGUUGCACGAAGGAGAUGACAGUGGUGGCGUUCUGACGAACUGAAGACCUCUGAGUGUGAGCCUCCUCGGAGCGGAAGCAAACCGCGAUGGUGGACGCGGGUCAGUCUUGAUUGCGACUGAGUGCAAUCGGCGUCACGACAACGACGCGUCGCGAGAGACCUCCGACGACGAGGAGGAGAAGGUUGAAGAGCUGAUUAUCUGGUGAUGGCAGUGUAAAAAAUGACAUUGUGAUGCCGCCGUGGUUCUGAUUCUGCGUUUUAGGGUUUAGGUUGUUCAUCAAUUUUUUGGGGGUUUUGCUUAUGAUGAUCUGAUCUCGUCUGCAACUUCAGAUUUGCGUGAAUGGUGGCCACGGAGGGCUGGUGGAUGCCGCUGUAGGGUCGCAGUGACGACGUUGUUAGCUUCUGACUGGGAUUACCUAAACUUGGGUUGGACUGCAGUUUGGGUUGGGCUGGCAAAUAUUGGUUGGGUUAACUAAUGUGGGAGGGGCACGUGGAUGUCUUUUUUAACCUCUGUAAAAAAAAUGCCACCUAAUUUUUUA